GGCGAACGCUGGCGGCAUGCUUAACACAUGCAAGUCGAACGAAGGGCCACUAAAGCUUGCUUCUAUCGAUCUUAGUGUCGAGCGGGUGAGUAACGCGUAAUCAACCUUCCCUUCAGAGGGGGGCAACAGUUGGGAACGACUGCUAAUACCGCAUACGGUCUAAUCUCUGCAUCGAGGGGAUAUUAGAACUUUGCUCGACAUAUAGACUAUCACUGGGGUAAGGUAUUUCGUCUGAUUAGCUAGUUGGAGGGGUAAAGGCCCACCAAGGCGAGGAUCCGUAGCCGGUCUGAGAGGAUGAACAGCCACACUGGAACUGAGACACGGCCCAGACUCCUACGGGAGGCAGCAGUGGGGAAUAUUCCGCAAUGGACGCAAGUCUGACGGAGCAAUGCCGCGUGAGUGAUGAAGGCCUUCGGGUUGUAAAGCUCUGUUAUUCGGGACGAAAGGCAUCAUUGCGAAUAGUGAGAAGGAUGGCCGGAACCGGAAUAGAAAGCCAGGGUUACCUACGU
rnacentral:rRNA from 1 species